rnacentral:rRNA from 1 species
UACAGAGGUCUCAAGCGUUGUUCGGAUUCAUUGGGCGUAAAGGGCGCGUAGGCGGCGGGGUAAGUCGGGUGUGAAAUCUCAGAGCUCAACUCUGAAAUGGCACUUGAUACUGCUUUGCUAGAGGACUGGAGAGGAGAUUGGAAUUCACGGUGUAGCAGUGAAAUGCGUAGAUAUCGUGAGGAAGACCGGUGGCGAAGGCAGCCCCCUGGGUUAGCACUGACGCUCAUGCAACCAAAAGCGUGGGGAGCAAACGAGG